rnacentral:lncRNA from 1 species
AGGUCACCCUAUAGUAGGGUGGCUCUAUCUGAUCACAUAUGAUCAUCGAACCACAACCUCCAGUCGGAUCCGACCGAAGGAUGAGAGCUAGGAGGAUCCUACCAAAUCUGAUUGGAGGAUGAUCGGAUCCGACCGAAGAAUGAGAGCUGGGAGGAUCCGAUCGGAGGAUGACCGAAUCCGACUAGAGGAUGAGUGCUAGGAGGAUCCAGAUCCGACCAGAAGAUGAGUGCUGGGAGGAUCUGACCGGAG